UUCUCACUGUGCUGUAUGAAGCAGGAUUUUAAUGAUACAAACUAUGUCAUUUACAUGAUUUUACUUGCGUGAAGAUAUUACGUGAUUCUGGAGUGGCUAAUCACUAAUCUGCUAAGAAAAACAAGGAGAAAGAUGGUGCAAGGAACUUUCAGACAAUAAGUCAGAAGAUGCGGUGCAGAUACUCUUUUACUGAUUAUUAGAAGCCCCGUGGAUUAUUGCCAUGCACUUUCAUGAAAACGUAUGCCGGUGUUGAAAACGGGAAGGUGGAUGAGGGUUGCUUGCUGUCUGGCCACACCUGAGCCAGCUGUCACCGCCGCGAGAGAUCAUCCCAACUUCCCCACCUGUUGAGGUCCUCAGUCUCCUCACCUGCCACUAACCUCUCAUAUUUGAAUCAAAGUUCAUCCAUUCAUUUAUUCAGAGAAACACAUUUGGGCGGUAAUCUCACCUGCUGGGCCAGAAAGAGGAUCGGAGCCCCUACGGAACACCUGGCAGGUGAGUGCUGCCCUCUAUAGCUGUCGCCGCUGUGUUAGUGUCAGGUGUUUGUGACUUCGUUUUGACACCCCUUUUUUGUAUGGAGUGCAGACGCGGUACAGUAUUCUUAGUAUCGGUGGAGUGAAAGGAGGGAGUCACUCAUCUAAUGGAGAAAAGAGUGGCUUUGUGAGUGGAUUGAGUUCGUUUUGGAGUGUGAGUGAGGAGUGGUUAGUUCAGUGUCCAGCCCGCCAGUCAGGGGUCUCUCUACCUCUGAAGGGAAGGGCUCAGAGUGGGAAAUUUUACCCAGUGAUGAGUACAGGGUGUGAACUUAUGAGUUGCUCAUUGAGAAAAUUGACAUAGGAAAGUUGUGCAUGUUGCAGUAAUUGCUACAGAAAGUAUCAGAGAGCUCGACUCUGCCCCCGUAGUGAACCAAGGAGGCGCGUGUUGUCUUCACUGCUGCAAGGUACGAGUAAGAUGGAGUGCGCUCUUGUUGGUUGGCGUGUGGCGGGUGUGUGAGGUGUUGUUCAGCGUUUCGUUACUUUCAAUUGGUAAGUGUUUGUGUGUUUGUGUUUGUUUGUGUGUAUAAUUCUUUUUUUUUUAAGGAGUCUAUUAUGGGAAUGUGCUUUAUGUUAUUAUUUUAUUU